AAGGAAGAUGGCGAAGACAGUGAGGGAAGAGAGCAGACGUCUGACUCCGGGGUGCUUAUCUGUGUGGAAGAGACCGGUUCUUCCUGACUGGCUUCAUGUCCCUCAAGGUGUUCUCCUGGCUCUUCAAGUAUUUACCCGUCUGUGUGUGACUCAUAUCCAGGAACCCAGGCAGCUUCCCUCAAUAGAUUGCUGGCUUCAGAAGAUGAGCCUCCCCUGCCGCUCCACAAGGCUCAAGUGCUUCAAUGAAAUAAAAGAGAACUGAAAUAAAAGAGAAAUAAAAGAGUCUG
ensembl:lincRNA 5930412G12Rik RIKEN cDNA 5930412G12 gene